GCUGGGCAUGGUAGCGGUUGCCUGUAAUCCCAGCUACUUGGGAGGCUGAGGCAGGAGAAUUGCUUGAACCUGGGAGCUGGAGGUUGCAGUGAGCUGAGAUCGCACCACUGCACUCCAGCCUGGGCAACAGAGUGAGACUCUGUCUCAA
rnacentral:SRP_RNA from 1 species